rnacentral:rRNA from 1 species
UACGAAGGGGGGCUAGCGUUGCUCGGAAUCACUGGGCGUAAAGCGCACGUAGGCGGAUUGCUAAGUCAGGGGUGAAAUCCUGGAGCUCAACUCCAGAACUGCCUUUGAUACUGGCGACCUUGAGUCCGGGAGAGGUGAGUGGAACUGCGAGUGUAGAGGUGAAAUUCGUAGAUAUUCGCAAGAACACCCCGUGGCGAAGGCGGUUCUCUGGGGACGGUACUGACGCUGAGACGCGAAAGCGUGGGGAGCGAACAGG